rnacentral:rRNA from 1 species
GACGAACGCUGGCGGCGUGCCUAAUACAUGCAAGUCGAGCGAGUCUGCCUUGAAGAUCGGAGUGCUUGCACUCUGUGAAACAAGAUACAGGCUAGCGGCGGACGGGUGAGUAACACGUGGAUAACCUACCUAUAAGACUGGGAUAACUUCGGGAAACCGGAGCUAAUACCGGAUAAUAUAUUGAACCGCAUGGUUCAAUAGUGAAAGACGGUUUUGCUGUCACUUAUAGAUGGAUCCGCGCCGCAUUAGCUAGUUGGUAAGGUAACGGCUUACCAAGGCAACGAUGCGUAGCCGCCCUGAGAGGGUGAUCGGCCACCCUGGAACUGAGACACGGUCCAGACUCCUACGGGAGGCAGCAGUAGGGAAUCUUCCGCAAUGGGCGAAAGCCUGACGGAGCAACGCCGCGUGAGUGAUGAAGGUCUGCGGAUCGUAAAACUUUUUUUUUAGGGAAGAACAAAUGUUUAAGUAACUAUGCACGUCUUGAGGGUACCUAAUCAAAAAGCCCCGGCUAACUACGU